UAGGUGUUAGCUUAUAGUGGAGACAUUAAGCCCACCUAGAGAGGGGAUUCUAGGUGUUGGGUUUUUAUGAAUUGAUUUCAGGCAAUUUUUGCAUGACAUUUUUCUAUAAAUAUGGGCUUUGAAUUUAGAUUAAAAACUUUGCCCAUUUUGCCCAUUUUAGUUUUAAAAAUUUGGGUUGGAAAAAUCACAAUUUUGGAGAAAAAAUUUCAACCCAAACCCAACCCAAAAUUUCAUUUCUUUUUCCAUCUCUUUCUCUCUUUCGGGUUCUUCAUUCAUCGGGUCCCACAACCCGGUUCUGAGUCCAGAGGAUAGUAGGUCAACUCUGGUGGCUCGAAAGAAUUCGGAUCGAGAUUCAGCGAGGAAAAGUGGUUUUCGGGAGCUUCAAAGGUUGAAUGAAAUAUGGACUAAAGUCCAGCCGUGCCGCUCGACCACUGCCCUCCGCCAGCCGUAUUGCGUGUCGACGUUCUCCGCCAGCCGAGUUUCUUCGAUUUUUCCGUUUUCGUUCUUGCGUCCGCCAGUUGCCGACCACUUCUGUUCUGCAAGAACUUGGUUUUGGGUGUGUUGUUGCUCAAUUCAAGAUUUCGAGAUAUUUUUCAAUUCUGUUCAGCAGCAUCAAAGUUCGCUUGGGUGCCUUUUGGUAAGCUAUAUUGGUUGUUCUGAUUUAAAUUUCGUUUUCCCUGUUGGUUUGGUGAAUGUUGAUGUUUAUUGGAUUUUAGAAUUUACUUUUGAAAUAUUUCAGCUUGGCUUAGGACUAUUUUGGAUUCCGUCCUUGGAGCUUAGUGUAGUUCUUGUUACAUCGGCAUUCUUUUGGGUGAGUGGUUUGGAGAUUUUUUGUGCAUUUUGGGUGAGUAGGUUGUGUUUAUAAAGAUUAACAUUAAGUUGAUUUAUUCUAGGGCAAUUUAAGCAUUUGACUCGAGUCAAACUGGGAUUUGGUUGAUAAUUGGAGUCUGGUUUAGAAGUUAGGCGUUUUAGAAUCUUCUGAAAUAUUCAUUGAUUUUAUUUAUUGAUUAUUUAAUUGUUAUUCAUUUUAAAGUCAGGUUAGGGGUACCCCAAAUUUUGUUAUGAUUUCUCACCCUUGCUUAUUUGAGCAUUUUUUUAAAAAUUAAAUAAUUUUUUUUCUUAUUUUUUUAUUUUAUUAUUCUUUGAGAAAAUGUAUUGUCAAGCCUAUGCAUGCAUAAGGUAGCGCGUCCUAGAAACAUAUUAGAAAUUUGGGUCGUUACAUAUACUAUUAUAUAUACUUUGAUGUAAAUAACGGUUUUUUUAUAUAUACUAGAAGGGGAUGUUUUUAUGCAGUAUACUAUAGUAUAUUUGAUUUCAAACUACUUGAAAUUCUAGAUUCUUAUUGGGAUUUAGGCAUUUGAAUUUAGGCUUUGAAAAUCUCAAGGAGGUUGUAUGAAACAUACUCCAAUAUAUUUUCUUUACAAUUCAAAUUUAGAAUAUAUUAUGUGAGAGAAAGAAUUGUGUAAGAUGAUAUUUAUAUACAGUGGAAUACCUGAUAUAUACUUUCAUAAUUUCAAUUGAAUAGCUUCCAUAUGUACUUAAGAAUGCUUGAUAUUUACGUUUAUUGCGUAUAUUCAUUAAAUCUUUGAAAGCCAUUGAUGGGAUGAGAAAUUCUGUAAAAUAUGAUAUAACUAAUAUGUAUUAUAGUGUAAUGAAUUUAUAUUUUUAGUUUUUAUGAUAACAAUUAAAUCUCAAUCAUGCACUAUUGUACAACAAAUAUUAAUUGUGUGGUAGGAUAAAUUGUGUAACAUGUAAUUUACGUACGAUUAUAGAAAAAUGGUUCGGUUAAAAUUGUUGGGUGAAAGUGCACGGACUCGACUGUCGAUGACGAUAGGUAGGGUGAUGACAACGAGCAAGGUGGUUGCAUCGGAAGGCGUGUCGAUGGCAAGGGCUUAACAAAGAAGAAGAGAUGAAGAUGAGAAGUUCAAAUGAGCACUUUUUUUUUUUUCCCCUAUAUAUACUGCGAUAUAUUAACUUCUUUCUUUUGGUGUUUAUAUAGGAGUUUUGAUAUAUACUAUGAUAUAUGUAUUCGUUUAUUUGAUAUAAAGGGGUGUGAAAAACAUUUUUUUUUUAUUAUUUAGACUUUCUA